CCUACAAAAGAAGCACCGACUAACUAUGUGCCAGCAGCCGCGGUAAUACAUAGAGUGCAAGCGUUGUCCGGAAUUAUUGGGCGUAAAGAGCUCGUAGGUCGUUUGUUACGUCGGAUGUGAAAACCUGAGGUUCAACCUCAGGCCUGCAUUCGAUACGGGCAAACUAGAGUUUGGUAGGGGAGACUGGAAUUCCUGGUGUAGCGGUGGAAUGCGCAGAUAUCAGGAGGAACACCAAUGGCGAAGGCAGGUCUCCGGGCCAAUACUGACACUGAGGAGCGAAAGUAUGGGGAACGAACAGGAUUAGUUACCCUGGUAGUCCAGACCGUUAACGGUGCGCACUAGUUGUGGGAACCUUCCACGGUUUCUGCGACGCAGCUAACGCAUUAAGUGCCCCGCCUGGGGAGUACGAUCGCAAGAUUAAAACUCAAAGGAAUUGACGGGGCCCCGCACAAGCAGCGGAGCAUGCGGCUUAAUUCGACGCAACGCGAAGAACCUUACCAAGGCUUGACAUAUAGCGAAAAGUGGCAGAGAUGUCAUGUCCGCAAGGGCU
rnacentral:rRNA from 1 species